rnacentral:lncRNA from 1 species
UGUGUAUAAACUUUGUACUCUUUUUUACUUGCUGAAAUAUUUUGAAGUAACCUGAUAAUUUAUUUUUCUAUCUUCAAUUUAUAUUGUUAUUCGUAUUAUAUCAAGUAUUGUAAGAUAUUUACUAAAUCGCCCAUUCGUACGGAUUGUUUGAUUAUUUUGCAUUCUUGUUGGGGCUUUAUCCUUCUUGUGAUAGUGACUUUUUCACUCAUCUUGGCAUGCCUUUUGAUUCUGAUCUUUUGCCAUCUUGACUUUGGAUUUGUAGUUUGUCUUAAAUUUUGGAACUUGUCCGUGUUAGGUACGAACUAGGAAGCUAUUUUUAAUAUGGUUUUUGAUUCACUUAUCUAUUGGGUUUUGACACUACUUGAUUUGGGGCUUCGGUCCAUCUUGAUAUUUGAUUAUGCUUAGUGUGAUGGCAUGGCAUACAUAUUAAGCGAAAAAUGAAUAUUUGGUAUACUCUCUUAGAUUGAUAGUAUACACUUUCUAGACUCUUGAACAUUGUUAUUGAUAUUUGGAAACACAUCAAAGUCUGAUAUUUGAUAUGUUUGAUAUAUUUAUUCACUUGUUUUAAAUUAUGUUAAAUUAAGCUAACUAUGACUAAAAAGUGGAAUUGGAGAAUUUAAUGACGCCAAGCCUAAAAUAUAUACACCACUAAGCUUUAUGCUUAGCGAUGGUUGUUUUCUAUCGUAGGUAAUGUUAGGGAUGAAAUCUGAAGAUGGCCAUGAUGAAGUAAUCUUUUCUUGGGAGACUUAUGGAGAUCACAUUUGCAUAUGCACCUUGGUUUUGCAUAGUUUUGGGAUAUAUAUAUAUAUAUAUAUAUAUAU